rnacentral:rRNA from 1 species
CCUACGGGUGGCAGCAGUGGGGGAUAUUGCACAAUGGGGGGAACCCUGAUGCAGCGACGCCGCGUGGGUGAAGGAGUGCUUCGGCAUGUAAAGCCCUAUCGGCAGGGAAGAAGCAAGACGGUACCUGACUAAGAAGCCCCGGCUAACUACGUGCCAGCAGCCGCGGUAAUACGUAGGGGGCGAGCGUUAUCCGGAUUCACUGGGUGUAAAGGGAGCGUAGACGGCCAUGCAAGCCAGGGGUGAAAGCCCGGGGCCCAACCCCGGGACUGCCCUUGGAACUGUGCGGCUAGAGUGCGGGAGGGGCAGGCGGAAUUCCUGGUGUAGCGGUGAAAUGCGUAGAGAGCAGGAGGAACACCGGCGGCGAAGGCGGCCUGCUGGACUGCGACUGACGUUGAGGCUCGAAAGCGUGGGGAGCGAACAGGAUUAGAUACCCCGGUAGUC